GUAGGGGGCAAGCGUUAUCCGGAUUUACUGGGUGUAAAGGGAGCGUAGACGGAUGGAUAAGUCUGAAGUGAAAGCCCGCGGCUCAACUGCGGGACUGCUUUGGAAACUGUGCAUCUUGAGUACGGGAGGGGCAGGCGGAAUUCCUGGUGUAGCGGUGAAAUGCGUAGAUAUCAGGAGGAACACCGGCGGCGAAGGCGGCCUGCUGGACCGAAACUGACGUUGAGGCUCGAAAGCGUGGGGAGCAAA
rnacentral:rRNA from 1 species